rnacentral:rRNA from 1 species
UGCAAGCGUUAAUCGGAAUUACUGGGCGUAAAGCGCACGCAGGCGGUCUGUCAAGUCGGAUGUGAAAUCCCCGGGCUCAACCUGGGAACUGCAUUCGAAACUGGCAGGCUUGAGUCUUGUAGAGGGGGGUAGAAUUCCAGGUGUAGCGGUGAAAUGCGUAGAGAUCUGGAGGAAUACCGGUGGCGAAGGCGGCCCCCUGGACAAAGACUGACGCUCAGGUGCGAAAGCGUGGGGAGCAAACAGGAUUAGAUACCCUGGUAGUCCACGCCGUAAACGAUGUCUACUUGGAGGUUGUGCCCUUGAGGCGUGGCUUCCGGAGCUAACGCGUUAAGUAGACCGCCUGGGGAGUACGGCCGCAAGGUUAAAACUCAAAUGAAUUGACGGGGGCCCGCACAAGCGGUGGAGCAUGUGGUUUAAUUCGAUGCAACGCGAAGAACC